rnacentral:lncRNA from 1 species
CUCAGAGUCAGACUGCCUCCCUCGUUCUCAAAAUUCUUCCAGCUCCCAGUGACUCACUGAAGAGUGUGGGCGCUCUGCUGCCUUUACUGAGCACCUGGGCUGGCUGGAGGUCUGGGAUUGCCUGGCUUCACAUCCCACAUGCCAGAGCUGUCUGCACCAUGUUGCUCCUCUACUUCUGGACACAGAAUCUUGUUUCCUGAGUGGCGUCAGAGGAUGAAUAAACCAGCACUUAUGGGUUAGCUCUCCAUGGAGUGGAAUUUGAGCAAUAAGAAACAGGAGGGAGAAAGCCCAGGGCAAGAAGGCCACUGAUGUAGCCCACCCAGGCCAGCCUACUGAGACAGAGCAGAUGGAGAAGGAGAAGGGCAGAGAGUUGAUAUGAAUCAGGAUAUACUAUACGGGAUAUAGAUUUUCAAAAGGGCAUUUGGAGUCCAGCGUCUCCAUGUGGACUUCACCCAGUAACAAAAUAUCUUAUCAAUUUGAAGAUGAACGUUUUUCACGUUUUAACACCUCUGAAGUUGACAGAAUCUUACGGUUGCUGUUCUCCAGGUGGCAGCCAGGACGUAGCUGCUGUUGCCUGCCCUUGCACAAACCUAGAUGUUAGUCCUCAUUCAGGUUGUCUUUAAAUGAUUCGUUGACUGUGUAUGGAGGAGAGUUACAGUUGUCCGAUGUGCCUUUGGUGGACCUUUUGUGGACAUCCUUCAGUAAGAACAAUAAAGUGCCAGCAUCAAAACUUAUAGAAUGAGCAUCAGCACCUUGGAAGCAAAUCCCAGAGACAAUAUUGCAGCAGUCUUAAGAAUAUUACCAAAGCUCCUGAUAGCCCAGCUGACAAAGCAUGAAAAAUACUCUGAUCUCAACUCUCCGUUGAAAGUGAUUCAGAGGACCUGGGAAUGUUUCUAUAGGAAACAUUUUAAUGAUACCUCAACGAAUUUUUAAAAAUUUAAGUCAGAUUUAUUGAGGUAUAAUUUACAUACAGUAAAACUAACCCUUUUUAGAUAUACAGUUCUGUGAAUUGGUAAAAAUAUAUAUAAUGUUGUGUAUCCACCACCGAAAUCAAGAGAGUACAUUUUGAGUUUCCUCAUGCUUCUUUGUAGUUGAUCCCCAACCCAUACUCCCAGCCCUCAGGAACCACUGAUCUUUCUUUCUCUGCUGUUUCGGCUUUCCUGUAAUGUUGUGUAGCAUUUUGAUUCUGGUUUAUUUCACUUAGCAUAAUGUUCUUGCAUUUAUCAGUAGUUCCUUCCUUUUUACUGUUCAGUAGUAUUCCAUGGUGUGAUUAUACCAUAAUGUUUAUGCAUUCACAAUAGAACAUCUGGAUUGCUUCUAGUUUAUGGCAAUUACGGAUAAAGCUAUAAAAGUGCAGGGUUUUGUAUGGAUAUACAGUUCCACUUCUCAUGGGGAAACACUCAGGCGUAGGAUUGCUGGGUCAUAUGGUAAUUGUAUAUUUAACUUUAUAACACACUGCUGAACUGCUUUUCACAGUGUCUGCAGGGUUUGACAUUCCCACGCACCAUGAAAACUUGGAGCUACUCUGCAACCUCACCAGCGCUUGGCGUGAUCAGCUUUUUAAAAUUAUAGUCAUUGUAUCCAUUAUUAGUCAUAGCUCACCGUGGUGUCAAUGUGCAUUUCCUUAAUGAUGCGCAUCUUCUCAUGGGCUUAUUUCCUAUCUAUAUAUCUCCUUUGAUGAAAUGUCUGUUCAAAUCAUUUGUAAUUUGAUUAUGUUCUUCUUACGGAGCUAUGAAUCCUUUAUGUAUUCUAGGUGUCCUUUAUCAGAUAUGUGUUUUGUAAAUAUUAUCUCAGUCUGUGGACUGUCUUUUCAUUUUCUUGACAGUGUGUUUCAAAGAGCAGAUAUUUAAUUUUAAGAAGUCCAAUUUGUCAAUUUUUUUUUCCUUUAUGGCUCAUGCUUUCUGUGUUCUAGCUAAGAAAUCUUUGCCACAUCCAAGUUCACAAAGAUUUUCUCCUUUUUUCCUGUAGAAGUUUUAUGG